AGGCGUGGCUUCCGGAGCUAACGCGUUAAGUAGACCGCCUGGGGAGUACGGCCGCAAGGUUAAAACUCAAAUGAAUUGACGGGGGCCCGCACAAGCGGUGGAGCAUGUGGUUUAAUUCGAUGCAACGCGAAGAACCUUACCUGGUCUUGACAUCCACAGAAGAAUCCAGAGAUGGAUUUGUGCCUUCGGGAACUGUGAGACAGGUGCUGCAUGGCUGUCGUCAGCUCGUGUUGUGAAAUGUUGGGUUAAGUCCCGCAACGAGCGCAACCCUUAUCCUUUGUUGCCAGCGAUUAGGUCGGGAACUCAAAGGAGACUGCCAGUGAUAAACUGGAGGAAGGUGGGGAUGACGUCAAGUCAUCAUGGCCCUUACGACCAGGGCUACACACGUGCUACAAUGGCGCAUACAAAGAGAAGCGACCUCGCGAGAGCAAGCGGACCUCAUAAAGUGCGUCGUAGUCCGGAUUGGAGUCUGCAACUCGACUCCAUGAAGUCGGAAUCGCUAGUAAUCGUGGAUCAGAAUGCCACGGUGAAUACGUUCCCGGGCCUUGUACACACCGCCCGUCACACCAUGGGAGUGGGUUGCAAAAGAAGUAGGUAGCUUAACCUUCGGGAGGGCGCUUACCACUUUGUGAUUCAUGACUGGGGUGAAGUCGUAACAAGGUAACCGUAGGGGAACCUGCGGUUGGA
rnacentral:rRNA from 1 species